UCCUACGGGAGGCAGCAGUGAGGAAUAUUGGACAAUGGAGGCAACUCUGAUCCAGCCAUGCCGCGUGCAGGAAGACGGCCCUACGGGUUGUAAACUGCUUUUAUACAGGAAGAAACCUAUCUACGUGUAGAUAGCUGACGGUACUGUACGAAUAAGGAUCGGCUAACUCCGUGCCAGCAGCCGCGGUAAUACGGAGAAUCCAAGCGUUAUCCGGAAUCAUUGGGUUUAAAGGGUCCGCAGGCGGUUUGUUAAGUCAGAGGUGAAAGCCUACCGCUCAACGGUAGAACGGCUUUUGAUACUGACAGGCUUGAGUUAUUGUGAAGUAGUUAGAAUGUGUAGUGUAGCGGUGAAAUGCAUAGAUAUUACACAGAAUACCGAUUGCGAAGGCAGAUUACUAACAAUAAACUGACGCUGAGGGACGAAAGCGUGGGUAGCGAACAGGAUUAGAUACCCUGGUAGUCCACGCCGUAAACGAUGGUCACUAGCUGUUCGACUAACGAUGGUUAGUUGAGUGGCUAAGCGAAAGUGAUAAGUGACCCACCUGGGGAGUACGCUCGCAAGAGUGAAACUCAAAUGAAUUGACGG
rnacentral:rRNA from 1 species